rfam:Brachypodium distachyon strain Bd21 chromosome 3, whole genome shotgun sequence.
UUGAUACUCCCUCCGUCCCAUAUUAAGUGAUUCAAAUUUCUCUAAAUAUAGAUGUGUGUACACACACUAAAAUACAUCUAGAUACAUAUAAUAGAAAGUCACUUAAUAUGGGACGGAUGGAGUAUUUA